CCAGGACAAUAUAAGUUGAAUAAAAGGCACUGAGACAAUGCUAAGCACAGCAUGAUCUGGCUGACUUAACGUUACUGAGAUUCAAACAAGAAUAUUUGAAUUAUGAGAAAACAAACUGACAAGACUGUUAAUAAGUUCAGUGUUUCAGCGUCUCUUGCCUUCUCAAUGCAGCAAGUAAUCAGUGUCUGGGUGCGGGACCCACGGAUACGAAAGAACGACUUUUGGCAUGCCUACAUAGACUAUGAAAUUUGUUUACAUACAAACAGCGUGUGCUUCACCAAGAAGAUCUCAAGUGUGAGAAGGAGGUACAGUGAGUUUGUAUGGCUCAGGCAGAAGCUACAAGCAAAUUCACAACUAAUGUUACAGCUACCAGAGCUGCCCCCAAAGAACCCUUUCUUCAGCCUGAACAGCGCCCAGCAGAUCACUGAACGAAUGAAAGGGCUCCAGAUGUUUUUGGAACAGACCCUCCAGAGUCCUAUGUUGUUGUCCGACAGUUGCCUGCAUCUUUUCCUGCAGUCACAGCUAAGCCCGUCCAAGAUGGAGGCCUGUGCUGCUGGAAGGACCCACUACUCUGUGACCCAGGCGGUCCAGCACUGUGGUCUGAGGCGAUUCCACUCUGAUGAGGAUCUGCAGAAGGACCUCAGCAUGUCCUGUAACUCUGACUCAGACAGCUCAGAGUGCAGAGAUCCAGAGCUUCGGAUUAAAGAUUUGGCAAUAAACAAAGCAGAGAGUACAGCUUCACUUGAUCUCAUGGGAACCAGCCAGGAGGAAACCCUCAGCUGCUUAUGUGGUUCUACAUAAAAACAUCAUCAUAUCAUUGGCACAAAUGUUCGGACCUAUGAAGAAGAAAUGUGCCUCUUACCCCAUGAUACUGCUC